rnacentral:lncRNA from 1 species
AGGAGCUUCAAUUUCAGUUGUGAGGAAGUGCUCAAUCCCACGGAAUUUCAAAUCUAUGUUCAUUACUGAAUCUCCUACUGAGUUUCUGCUCUGAGAUAACUGACCUUGAAAGUUAAAAGAUGUCAAGUGCAAUGCAUAGUGGAAAGUGAUGGAAUGCGACUGCAGAAAAUUCACAAAGAGGAGAAGGUUUUUGUUCUAUGUGAAUUGAGAAGUAGUGGUCUGGAAACUAUUGCAAAUUAUUCUUCUACCUCUCGGCCCUUUAAAGAUAUGUUUGGCAUAUCUUGAAGAAGCAGAAACAUCACUGAAUAUCCAUCAGUGAAAAUCUAAAAAUAUGAAAACCAAGUCUUCAGAGCGGCAGCAAUGAAUCAAACCUAUUACUGAGACUUUAAGCUUCUCCAGCUGCAUGUGAAGGAGGUGUGAAAAAACGAAAGUUCAAUAAUCUAAAAAAAAGUAGUGCCUUUCCGCACUUUGUGGGAUGGUGGUGAUUGUGGAGCACACCAAGUAGUAUUCACUCAGUGGGUGAUUUUUGCAGUAGCAGUCUGAUCUAAGUCUAAAUCUCAGUCCAAAAUUAAAACUCAAGAUGUGUUUCACUGCUUCUGAGCCAACAUUUUUCUGAACUGUAUUCUCUAGCUAAGCAGCUCUAUGUCUCUGAUCAUCUUGUGAUUUUACCUUAUUUCAAAUGAAAGUCUUUAGAACAUCCCUUUUGAAAAAAAAAAAAAAAGUGUGCAAUUUUAAAACACACCUGUCUGGGUGAUUACUUCUUAUUUUCAUUACCUGCUUUGGAAAAUCACAAAUUGUCUCUUAUAUAAGAUGGAAUAGUAAAAUGGAGUGGAA